ACCAGCCGAAGUGGGAAAAGGGAAAAGAAAAUUGGUGAUGUUUUGCGGGCUCAAAAGGAAUGGAUAUUUAAAGAAGUUUGAAUUGGUUUUUGAUAUAUAUAUAUAUAUAUAUAUAUAUAUAUAUAUAUUGCCUGUUGAAGCAAAAAGGGGCUGCCAGUCGAUUUGAGUGAGAGAAAGGGACAUUGUAAUAUGAUAAUGGUGGGGCUUAUUAGUUGAUAUUUUAGCAAAAUAUUGCUUUAUUUACGUGAGAUGUUGCUUGAGAGAUACCAGAUGAAAUGACACGGGUUAGUAGGGAAAGAAAGAGAUGGUGGCGGGUCUUAGUGUAAUUUGUGGUUCAAAUGUGAUUAUAUUUUCUGAUGGAAGGGAUAUGGUGAGCAGUUGUGAGUGGUCGGUGGACUUGCCUUUAAAUAUCAAUAUCAGUUUUGUAACUUCGGUGAGCAAGUGGAGAUAGGAAAAAAAAAAAUUAGAAAGAGUUCGAGGACAGUGAGCCGAGACAGAGAAGAGAGAAAUUAGAGAAUUAAAGAGUGAGAGUGGAAGAGGCAUAGAGAAGGAGUCGAGAGCUUGCAAAGGAGUCCGGGACCUUGAAGCUUUGAUGAUUCAGUGAGGAAAUUCUUUUUUAAGUGUAAGCUUCUCUAUAUCUUGAAUGGCUUGCGUUUCAGGUAACUAAGAUGAAUGGAGAUCACUAGAUUCAGUCUUAGGUGGAAAAGUCGGCGUUGCAGGAUUUAUUUUAUUUAUUAGGAGAAUUUUUGUGUAUAUUUGAGGAAAUUGACUUUGUAUAAAGAGGCAUUUUUUUUUAUGAUCCUGGUUGUAUUUUGAUGGAUUUGGAUUCGUAUAAAUUGAGGAUUUUAUUAAAAUUUUUGUAUAAAUUGAAAAUUUUAUUAAAAUUUUCAGAACGUGACACAUGUCCAAGCCUUGAACUCUAAAAAUAUAACUUUUAUAUAGAAUUCUAAAUACUUAAAGAUUUUUCAACAAAAAAAAUUUGAGAUAUAAUGAGUAGAUAUUAUAUCUAGUUUAGUCCAAAGUUAAACUACUAUAUAACAUUUAAUUAUAACAUGUGAUUUUAAUUUUAAAAUGGAUGCAGGCUGUUUUAAUUGUUAUACAUACUUCAUACAAUAUAGAAAUAUAAAUUUGUAUCCCCAUCUUUAUAUCUUGUGGUUUCCUUAAUCUUAUAUCCAAUUAUCCAUGAUCAUGUUUCAUAGAAAAUCACAAACCAUUUCCAAUUUAACAAAUAAAUGUCAUGUCUAUUAAAAUAAGAGAGACAAAGUAAAAGGAAAAGAAACGAUCAUUCUUAAUGGCAGAAUAAAACAAUUGGAGUGCAAUAUUGAAAUAUAUAUUAAUAUAAUACAUAUAUAUAUAUAUAUAUAUAUAUAUAAUAAAUAUUUCAAUAAUUCCUUCCCCUGGGGUUUGAUGAUCAACAUAGUGCAAUCUUUGAAAUGGGUAUAUCGCAGGGUAAGGUACAAUGCAGACUAGCUCAUGGGUUUUUGUUUUCACUUAAAUUUUACAUUCAAUAAGGUAUAU